AUAAAGUGCGUCGUAGUCCGGAUUGGAGUCUGCAACUCGACUCCAUGAAGUCGGAAUCGCUAGUAAUCGUGGAUCAGAAUGCCACGGUGAAUACGUUCCCGGGCCUUGUACACACCGCCCGUCACACCAUGGGAGUGGGUUGCAAAAGAAGUAGGUAGCUUAACCUUCGGGAGGGCGCUUACCACUUUGUGAUUCAUGACUGGGGUGAAGUCGUAACAAGGUAACCGUAGGGGAACCUGC
rnacentral:rRNA from 1 species